CCUACGGGGGGCUGCAGUGGGGAAUAUUGGACAAUGGGCGAAAGCCUGAUCCAGCCAUGCCGCGUGUGUGAAGAAGGCCUUCGGGUUGUAAAGCACUUUCAGUGGGGAAGAAAGCCUUGGGGCUAAUACCCUCGAGGAAGGACAUCACCCACAGAAGAAGCACCGGCUAACUCCGUGCCAGCAGCCGCGGUAAUACGGAGGGUGCGAGCGUUAAUCGGAAUUACUGGGCGUAAAGCGCGCGUAGGCGGUCUGAUAAGCCGGUUGUGUAAGCCCCGGGCUCAACCUGGGAACGGCAUCCGGAACUGUCAGGCUAGAGUGCAGGAGAGGAAGGUAGAAUUCCCGGUGUAGCAGUGAAAUGCGUAGAGAUCGGGAGGAAUACCAGUGGCGAAGGCGGCCUUCUGGACUGACACUGACGCUGAGGUGCGAAAGCGUGGGUAGCAAACAGGAUUAGAUACCCGUGUAGUC
rnacentral:rRNA from 1 species